rnacentral:rRNA from 1 species
AGGGUGUAAACGCUGCAGACUUGGUGUUGGAAGUCCUUUGGGGGCAUUCAGUGCCGGAGAGAAGUUGUUAAGUCUGCUACUUGGGGAGUACGUCCGCAAGGAUGAAACUUAAAGGAAUUGGCGGGGGGAGCACCGCAACGGGAGGAGCGUGCGGUUUAAUUGGAUUCAACACCGUAAAACUCACCAGGGAAGACUGUUACAUGAAAGCCGAGAUGAAGACUCUGCUAGAUUUUUCAGAGAGGAGGUGCAUGGCGUCAGUGACU